rnacentral:rRNA from 1 species
GAAAUUGGACAAUGGCGAAAGCCUGAUCCAGCGAUGCCGCGUGUGUGAAGAAGGCCUGCGGGUUGUAAAGCACUUCAGUAGGGAAGAGAAAGCCGAGUGCCAAUACCACUCGGUCUGACGUUACCUAAAAGAAGAAAGCACCGGCUAACUCCGUGCCAGCAGCCGCGGUAAUACGGAGGGUGCGAGCGUUAAUCGGAAUUACUGGGCGUAAAGGGCGCGUAGGCGGUGAAGUAAGUCGGGUGUGAAAGCCCCGGGCUCAACCUGGGAACUGCAUCCGAUACUGCUUCGCUAGAGUAUGGUAGAGGGAAGCGGAAUUCCGGGUGUAGCGGUGAAAUGCGUAGAUAUCCGGAGGAACACCAGUGGCGAAGGCGGCUUCCUGGACCAAUACUGACGCUGAGGCGCGAAAGCGUGGGGAGCAAACAGGAGUAGAGACCCUGGUAGUCCACGCCCUAGACUGGAGAGCUAGCCGUUGGAGGAGGGUAUCCUUAGGGCGCAGCUACGCGAUAAUUUCCGCCGGGGAGACGGCUCAAAUUAACCCC